UACGUAGGGUCCGAGCGUUGUCCGGAAUUAUUGGGCGUAAAGAGCUCGUAGGCGGUUUGUCGCGUCUGCUGUGAAAACUGGAGGCUCAACCUCCAGCUUGCAGUGGGUACGGGCAAACUAGAGUGCGGUAGGGGAGAUUGGAAUUCCUGGUGUAGCGGUGGAAUGCGCAGAUAUCAGGAGGAACACCGAUGGCGAAGGCAGAAUCUCUGGGCCGUGAACUGACGCUGAGGAGCGAAAGACAUGGGGGAGCGAACAGG
rnacentral:rRNA from 1 species